rnacentral:rRNA from 1 species
AUUGAACGCUGGCGGCAGGCCUAACACAUGCAAGUCGAACGGCGCGGCGGACGGGUGAGUAAUGCCUAGGUAUGUACCUGGUCGUGGGGGAUAACGUACGGCAACGGGCGCUAGCUCAGCCUACUAUCAGUCGAGCCUAGGUCGGAUUAGCUAGUAGGUGGGGUAAAGGCCUACUUAGCCGACGAUCCGUACCUGGUCUGAGAGGAUGAUCAGUCACACUGGAACUGAGACACGGUCCAGACUCCUACGGGAGGCAGCAGUGGGGAAUAUUGGACAAUGGGCGAAAGCCUGAUGCAGCCAUGCCGCGUGUAUGAAGAAGGUCGUCGGGUUGUAAAGUACUUUAAGUUGGGAGGCGUUACCAGCAGAAUAAGCACCGGCUAACUUCGUGCCAGCAGCCGCGGUAAUUC